GUUAAAAUAGCAGAGGUCCUCCGGGUCAUUCUAGAAACAGACGCGGCAGUGGAAGGGGCCAGGUGGCUUCCGCUUUAGGCUGGCGAUCCCCGGGCGCGGUGAGCCGCGAGCCGCCCCAGGCAGGUCAGUUUGCGCAGCUGGGCUGCCCUCUGCUGGCACUGCCCGGGUACGAACCAGAUUCAAACCCUCGGAACACAUUGGGCCGGGUUAGUUGACGGGAGAGUCGAUUUGGGAGGAAGGUAAUAGAAAGCAAGAAUUCCACACGCUCACUCCCAAAGGCAGAAGGCUCUGCAAACCUGGGUAAUGACGCCUUCCCAACGCGAAGACCGCCGUCCCGCCUCCGCUUCCACGUCGGGCGUACGGUCGUUUUACGACAGUUUAUCCGAGCCGCAGGCUUGCUUUCCGGCAGCGUGGACAGAAGCUUCGCUCGAUUUCCGACAUCGUGGGCAGAUUGCCCCCUUGCCACGGGAGGGGUUUAAAAGUUCGAAUGUCAGUGCCGGAAUGAGUCUCUUUGACCUCUUCCGGGGCUUUUUCGGCUUUUCUGGAGCUCGGAGCCACAGAGAUCCCUUUUUUGGAGGGAUGACUCGAGAUGAAGAUGAGGAUGAUGAGGAAGAAGAAGAAGGAGCUACAUGGGACCAUAGGAGCCCAAGGUUUGACGGUCCCCAGCCUCCGGAGGAAUUUGGCUUCAGCUUCAGCUUCAGCCCAGGAGGAGGGAUGCGCUUCCAUGACAACUUCGGCUUCGAUGACUUAGUGCGGGAUUUCAAUAGCAUCUUCAGUGAGAUGGGGGCCUGGACCUUGCCUUCCCACUCUCCUGAACUUCCAGGUGUUGAGUCAGAGACACCUGGUGAGAGACCUCGGGAGGGACAGACACUCCGGGACUCCAUGCUUAAGUAUCCAGAUAGCCACCAGCCCAGGAUCUUUGGGGGGGUCUUGGAGAGUGAUGAAAGAACUGAACCCCCAAAACCAGCACCAGACUGGGGCUCCCAGAGACCUUUUCAGAGGUUUGAUGAUAGAUGGCCUGUGACCCCUCAUCCUAGAGCCAGAGAGGACAAUGAUCUUGAUUCCCAGGUUUCCCAGGAGGGUCUUGGCCCAGUUCUACAGCCCCAGCCCAAAUCCUAUUUCAAGAGCAUCUCUGUGACCAAGAUCACUAAGCCAGAUGGGAUAGUGGAGGAGCGCCGGACCGUGGUGGAUAGUGAGGGCCGAAGAGAGACCACAGUAACCCGUCAAGAAGCAGACCGCAGUACUCAAGAUGACCCAGAGUCACCAAGACCUCCAGCCCUGGAUGAUGCCUUUUCCAUCCUGGAUUUAUUCUUAGGACGUUGGUUCCGGUCCCGGUAGCCUUCAGGUCUUUUCUGCCUCCCACCCGUUGCUCACCAUCACCAGACUUAGCUCGUUCACCUGCCAUCUCAAGGACCUGGGUGUGUGGAACAUGAAUUGGGGGUGUAGCAAAGCGAGAGCUUAUUGAAGGAGAAGAAGGAAAAACAGCUCCCAAGAAGGGAGGGGUCCUGGAAAAUGGGUUGCUGAGGAGGAACUGGGGCGAAGACUUUUAUCUGGGUCCCGG